UCUUCCCAUUGCUUCGAUCAUAGCGGCUACCUUUGCGGGGUUUUGAACAGCUGUAACGUAUUCAUGAUGGCUGUUGCCUGGUGGCAUCGACCAACCAAACAUCUGAGGAGAGUCGGGGAGGGUCCAUUGAGGUCCAGCCGCAGAAUUGCCCACAGCAUGACAAUAGUGGGCCUGAUUAUUUGCACCCAUUCUCAUUGAAUUUACCUGGUGCUGGGUGUACCGCUCCCUGAGUGGGGGCUGUCUCUCUCCCUGAAACUGAAGGGGACAAGCGGACUGUCAGUAAAACGAGAACAAUUGUUUUAAAUUAUUGGCAUUACACUUAAUUUAAAUACAAUCAAUUCCCCAGAUAAUGACAGAAACAGAAACAAUUAUGUUUAAUAAUAGGAGAUACUUACAAGUGGGAUGCCCUGAUUCACAUGCUGAGGAUGUGAACUCCUCCUAAACUUACUCCGUUUGUUUUGAAACCAAGUUUUUACCUAAAGAUGGAAGAAAACAGAAAACAUUUCAUGAGUACAAUAGACCCAAAAUUCAAUUUCUUAUGUUUUAGUAAGUUGAAAAACACUCACCUGUUUGUAGGUCAGUCCUGUCAUCUCUGCCAACUGUUUAAUCUCCCUUGGCUCAUAGUAACGUUUCGCAUUAAAGUGAUGGACAAGAAUAUUCAACUGUCUCUCUGUGAACACCACCCGGGCCUUUCCUUUAGGUUUCUCUGGAGCAGUGCUGGGAUCGUGCAGAGUGGCAGUGAUGUUGCCAUCCUGGCUUCUUGGGACAGCAAAAUCUUGUUUCUGCUCUGAGACAGCAGGAAAAAAACACUUUAAAAAGGAAUCAGAAGGGUCCAUUUAGUAGACAGGGAGAAGGAUUUGAAGUGUUUCAUGCGGACAAGAGAGGUCCCACGAGAACACAUCAUACAGAUGCAACAAGACAAAGUACGUCUAAAAUUCAUUCCUUGUUUCCCCGUGUGUGUUGCUGUGUCAGUUUUGCUGCCCCGCCAGGCCUGGAGAGUCCCUGCCUUGGAGCCAGCUACACCUGUGAUAAUCACUCACCUGUUGCUGAUCUGCUAAUAAAAGGAGCUCAACUUAAGAGGGCAGUGGAGCAGCAGUCGGUGUGGGAUUGUUAAACUAGAAAUACAGUUAGUGCUCAGCUUGUAUUUCCUAUAGUCAUGCAAUUUAUUAUUUUUAAGCAAUCGUAUGAAUUUUUGUAUUGAUGUACUUUUGUUAAUUUGAUCUGUAUAGGUGUUCCACACACUAACUCCUGUGACUGUAAUGCUGUGAUAUUUUACAUUAGUCCUUACCAUUGGCUUGGCUCAUCUACUCCCCUCAUAAACACUGAGUUUGCUACAUUAAUAGUUAAUGUUUUAUUUUUAGUAGGGUGUUCAGUUUUUACAAUUUCUUUAGGCAAGCCAGGACCAACAUCAAGAAAAAAGCCAUUAAAACCAUUUGCAAAUUGUUUUAUGUCACUGAUCAUUGUAUUUUGUAUUUGAAAGUUAUUGGGAUAUUCCAAUCCUUUAGUUCCUUUAUUUACAAUAUCAUUUAGUACUGUCCACGUUUUUCAUAUUUUAU